AUAGAGGUGAGUUCAAUUUAUUUAUUACAUAAAUACAUUUUGAUGAACAAAAAAUAAUAUAUUACUAUAAAUGUCUUACCUUAGCAUCAGAAUGUUUAUGAAUAUUAGACGACUAACCCGUACUUGUUGUACAAUAUUCAACCUUAUAUAAAAAUAACUACUAUACUUUAGCUGAACAAAGAAGUAUUGCAUCGCUGUUAUAUCUUAACAGGAUAAAUUUAAGUUUUAAUGCAAGACUAUUAUUAAAAAAAAACAGUUAAUUCCUAACACUGUUGAAUGUUAUUUUAUGUAAACACAAUCUACACAUCAAAGGAAUGUCAAUAGACAUGAAUUAGAGUUUGAUUUGCUAGUUGCAGAUGUUCUGCACCAUCAGGAGUGAGCCCUGAAGACUUUGUUAGUUUGCAUUUUUUUUGUUUUACAGUAUGUGUAGUUAAAAGGCCGUCAUAGAGUCCAAUUGCUGUAAUAAUCUCUUUUUCAAGACCAUGGUAAAAAGAGGCUAAUAAAACCUUUUUAAAAGCUGUAAUAACAAUCUACAAUCUUAAUGUGGAGAUGGCCCACAGAAUGAAAAUUCAGCCUAGACAAGUUGUAACUUUUUUUUGUUACUCCAAAUCUCGAAUUAGGUCAAACUUUUCACUAUGUGAUAUCUGUCAUGGCAGUUAUGCAGAGAACCAAAUAAAGAAAGAAAAUAAGUGUACCAUUCCAUAUUAAACAUCUGCAUAAUAAUAUGUCUUUAUUAUCCUUGAAGAAAUCU